AACGAACGCUGGCGGCGUGGAUAAGACAUGCAAGUCGAACGAUUACUAGUGGGUAGCAAUAUUCGCUAGUGAGAGUGGCGCAAGGGUGCGUAACACGUGGGUAAUUUGCCGUGAAGUCUGGGAUAACUUGCUGAAAGGCGAGCUAAUACCGGAUGUGAUUACUGGAAGGCAUCUUCUGGUACUUAAGGUCGGGGACCGUAAGGCCUGACGCUUCUCGAUAAGCCCGCGGCCUAUCAGCUAGUUGGUGAGGUAACGGCUCACCAAGGCUAAGACGGGUAGCUGGUCUGAGAGGACGACCAGCCACACUGGAACUGAGACACGGUCCAGACACCUACGGGUGGCAGCAGUCGAGAAUUUUUUCNCAAUGGGCGAAAGCCUGAAGGAGCGACGCCGCGUGGGGGAUGAAUGGCUUCGGCCCGUAAACCCCUGUCAUUUGCGAUCAAACCUUACGACCUAACACGUCGUGAGCUGAUAGUAGCGGAAGAGGAAGGGACGGCUAACU
rnacentral:rRNA from 1 species